GACGAACGCUGGCGGCGUGCCUAAUACAUGCCAGUAGAACGCUGAAGAGAGGAGCUUGCUCUUCUUGGAUGAGUUGCGAACGGGUGAGUAACGCGUAGGUAACCUGCCAUGUAGCGGGGGAUAACUAUUGGAAACGAUAGCUAAUACCGCAUAACAAUGGAUGACACAUGUCAUUUAUUUGAAAGGGGCAAUUGCUCCACUACAAGAUGGACCUGCGUUGUAUUAGCUAGUAGGUGAGGUAAUGGCUCACCUAGGCGACGAUACAUAGCCGACCUGAGAGGGUGAUCGGCCACACUGGGACUGAGACACGGCCCAGACUCCUACGGGAGGCAGCAGUAGGGAAUCUUCGGCAAUGGGGGCAACCCUGACCGAGCAACGCCGCGUGAGUGAAGAAGGUUUUCGGAUCGUAAAGCUCUGUUGUAAGUCAAGAACGGGUGUGAGAGUGGAAAGUUCACACUGUGACGGUAGCUUACCAGAAAGGGACGGCUAACUACGUG
rnacentral:rRNA from 1 species